rnacentral:tRNA from 1 species
GACCGCGUGGCUCAGUUGGCAUAGCAUUGGGCUAGCAUUCCAAAGGUCGUAGGUUCGAUUCCCACCGUGGUCA